rnacentral:rRNA from 1 species
CAAGUCGAACGGCAGCACGGAGCUUGCUCUGGUGGCGAGUGGCGAACGGGUGAGUAAUAUAUCGGAACGUACCCUAGAGUGGGGGAUAACGUAGCGAAAGUUACGCUAAUACCGCAUACGAUCUAAGGAUGAAAGUGGGGGAUCGCAAGACCUCAUGCUCGUGGAGCGGCCGAUAUCUGAUUAGCUAGUUGGUAGGGUAAAAGCCUACCAAGGCAUCGAUCAGUAGCUGGUCUGAGAGGACGACCAGCCACACUGGAACUGAGACACGGUCCAGACUCCUACGGGAGGCAGCAGUGGGGAAUUUUGGACAAUGGGCGAAAGCCUGAUCCAGCAAUGCCGCGUGAGUGAAGAAGGCCUUCGGGUUGUAAAGCUCUUUUGUCAGGGAAGAAACGGUGAGAGCUAAUAUCUUUUGCUAAUGACGGUACCUGAAGAAUAAGCACCGGCUAACUACGUGCCAGCAGCCGCGGUAAUACGUAGGGUGCAAGCGUUAAUCGGAAUUACUGGGCGUAAAGCGUGCGCAGGCGGUUUUGUAAGUCUGAUGUGAAAUCCCCGGGCUCAACCUGGGAAUUGCAUUGGAGACUGCAAGGCUAGAAUCUGGCAGAGGGGGGUAGAAUUCCACGUGUAGCAG